rnacentral:tRNA from 1 species
GUUAGGGUGGCAGAGUCAGGUUUAAUGCACAAGACCUAAAAUCUUCCCAACAGAAGUUCAAAUCUUCUCCCUAACC